CUUCAAAUUUGUUAUACUUGUUUAUAACUAAGAAAUUGAGAGGUGUGUAAAAUUUUAAAUAAGAUCGAUAAUUUAAUCAAAAGAUAUUGAAGUUUUAAACUAUCUUAGGAUUUGGUUAGGAUUUGAUUUAGGAUUUAGAGUUUGGUUAAGGUUUGAUUAGGAUUUGAUUUAGUAUUUAGGAUUUAGUUAGGAUUUAGUUUAGGAUUUAGGAUUUGGUUAGGAUUUAGUUAGGAUUUGAUUUAAGAUUUAAGAUUUAAUUAGGAUUGAUUUAAGAUUUAGGAUUUUGUAUAAGGUUUAGGAUUUGUUUAGAGUUUGAUUGAAGUCCAUU
rnacentral:lncRNA from 1 species